CUUCCGCCGGCGACCAGCGCACGGGUGAGUAACACGUAUGCAACCUGCCCCUGUCAGGGGGACAACCCGCCGAAAGGCGGGCUAAACCCGCGUACAUGCCACCGGGGCAUCCCGGAGGCAGGAAAGGCUUCGGCCGGACAGGGAUGGGCAUGCGGCGCAUUAGGCAGUAGGCGGGGUAACGGCCCACCUAACCGACGAUGCGUAGGGGUUCUGAGAGGAAGGUCCCCCACACUGGUACUGAGACACGGACCAGACUCCUACGGGAGGCAGCAG
rnacentral:rRNA from 1 species